ensembl:lncRNA LINC02249 long intergenic non-protein coding RNA 2249
UUCACUCAGACAUAUAGGAGGUCCAGGCAGCAUGAACAGCUCCCUGGUCAGAGACACAUGGAUUUGCUCACUGGUUACUCAAAGCUGAUUCAAAGCCGAUUAAAGCUGCUGCUUCAUCUGGGGUCCCAACCUCCAGUGGGAAAAACAUUCUUCUUUUCCUGCUGGUGUCACCCACUGUUCCACGGAUCCAAAACAACACCCAAUGUUUGGUACAAAUUUAGUGAAACAGCUCUUUCCAUUCUUAACUCAUGCCAAGCAUCUCAGCUUGGGGUCAGGAAAAUGCCAGGGGACAUGAGCUCUUCUCCUAGAGUUAGAGAAUUCUCUGCCUUAGUUGCAAUAAAGGAAAAGAUACACAUUCUUCCUACAAAUGCCAAAGUAGGCUCAAAAUUUGGUUCCUAG